UCGCGCCCGCGGGCCAGGAUGGCGGCGGGGGGCGAGGGAGGGACCUAAAGUUCCGAGUAUCUGCACCUUCCUGCGGGAGUGUAGCCGGGUGGGAUCCGCCUGUGCUCUCAGGCAGCUAAUUAGGGACAGGAUGAGAGGACACGGCCUUGAGCUCCGCCAGGGGAUGACUUACUUAUCCCAGUACGGAUGGGAGACUACUAGAAAGGCGUGAUAAUGGAGUGUUUGCUGAUGUCACUUUGAUAUGUCUGCCAGCACUCUGGAAAAGUCAGCCCUUCCCGACUUGUGUAAAGCAAAGCAAUGAGGGGGUGAAGUAGGAGCAAGAAGAAAGAAUUAAGGAGGCAUUUCCCAAAAUAAAAAAAAAUUCUUCAGGAGGAAGAGCUACAUCUUUCACCUUUAUGGGAGUGUUCAAUCUGAGUCCUUCUCACCUCUUUUAAAUAUGGUCAAUCUACAUUGAACAAAAGUUUUCUUACACUGUCUUCAGUGUUGGUGUUAGUAGCUACAGAAGCGUUUCAUGGAAGAGACAUACAGUCUCCAUUGCCAAUAUACUUCUGCACUCCAA